UUCAGUUGGAGUGUAUCGGAUGAUAAACACGAUGAAGACGUAUAUUGUCUUAAUGCUUCUCGUCGUGCACACUGUAUCGUCACUGCAUCUAGAAAAAGUAGCAGAAACUGUGCAGAAUGGAAUAAAGAACUUCAAACACCAUUUAAAGGAGAAAGCCGCUUCUCUACAGAAACUGACAGAAGAGUUCGACCUUCACAAACCCCACAAGCCGUUGUACCCGUACGCUAAGCACGUCGUCCAAGAAGAGCAUUAUUCUAAGAAGACACCGCUUGUAAUAGACCCUUACCAAAUUGAGAGGCUAAAGCAUUACUUCGAGCCCCAUCAUAAACCACUGACAUAUAUACCUCAUUAUGCUCCGUAGAGUUUCAUUAUUAGUACAGCCAAAAAAUUUAAAAUACUGUGCAAGUCCAUUCGAAUUUGUUUCACUGUGUAAAUAAUUUAUAAUGAACAAUCUUUUAGUGUUAUUAUAUAGAAGAACUUCUUCAAUGUAUGUAAAAUUUGAUUUACAUAAUAUUAUACUGUAGAUAAAACACCAGCUGUCAUGUUAUCAGUUACAGUGCUAGGUUAAGUGAGUGUAAGACGUAGCUGUAAUGCACACUUAAGUAACAAUCGUGGCCUGUUGUCAUGCAUUGCCUAACAGCACGAGGCUCUGUCUAGAUGUAUAAAUUAUCUCUAGGAUAUAAAAAAAAUCCCACCUCGAUGAAAGCUCGCUUUUAGUUCCUGGUACAAGGCAGAAAAGUGGCCGAUUCUCUUCCGGCAAGACGAUUUUUUUUCAUCGUGCCAGGGACUAAAAGCGAGCCUUUUCAUCCAGGUGGAAAAAAAUCGUAUACGCAUCACGUGAGAUAAGUAGGACAUUGCCACCCGCGAUUGUCAAUAUUCCGCUAUUUCAUUUCUCAUACUCGGAAAGUAAUGUUGAUCUAAUUAUUGGGUGGAAAAUGCUGCUUCCCUCCAUAGAGAGGGAAAAACUCAUAUAAAUUACUUCCAACCUAAGGGCCGGAAUGAACUUUAAAAAUAGAACUGCUGUCAGCUGUGAAGAGUUUUAUGUAAAAAAAAACUAAUUGAAAAAAAUGCUAUUAUAUAUUAAAAAUUUUUAGUGUUUUAAAUGUUUAGUUUAACUUUAUGCCAAUUUUAUUUGUAAGGCCGUUUAUUUACAAUUGCGCAUUACACUUGAAUCACGAAGGAAACAUGGUCAUUACAUUUGAAUUAUAUAAUACAUCAAUAAUUAUGAUUAUAAUUAACAACAGAUUUCGUUCCGGUAACAUAAUUAAUAACUGUAAUGCAUAAAUUAUCUAUGUGCGUAAUUAACUAUGUAAGUAGCUAAUAUAGGGCCUUACUCUUUCACAAACUCUUGAAGAUAAUUAGAACUAUCUCGAAGGUCUGACGAGAUUACCGGUCAUUGGUAGUUGGUUGGUUGGUUAUCCAUGAUAAGUUGGCCUGUGUUAUCAAUCUAGAUAGACCACAGCCUGUCUCCAUUAUUCUUGGUCUUCUCUAGUCUUUUCAUAAUUAUCUGCGUGGUAAAAAAUCCUUUGAAAACGACAUGUGCAUUAACUUUUUACUGACUUCAUCUGUUUUACGUGUGCACAACGACUGCUGCAUUUAAAUAAUGUCAGGAUAGAGUCAGCACUAACAUACCUCAAAUAUCGAGCCAGUAACUUACACGGUGUGGCGACCACGUACCAGAAGACGCAGUGAGGGUAGGCCGCCCACAAGAUGGACCGACGAUUUGGUUAAGGUCGUCGGUAUACGUUCAUUAAAUUGAAAGUUUUUGAUGCAUAUAUUAUAGAGGUCAAAUUAAACCUAUAAAAAUAGAUUUCUAUUGCAUCGACAAUUCCGUCGGUUGUGAGGGCAACGGACUGGUCCAAUGGUGCAGUUUCCAAAACAGAUUUCUUCUGUACCUGUACCUUAACUCACUUGUUCAGUAAUAGCUUCUUUAUAUUAUGGUAGAGACUCUUUGCUAUUCGGUCAUUUACCGAAAUAAUUAUCCGGAUAAUUAUUGAAGAAUUAACAUUUUAUGUUGUGUAUGUCCUAGUAUAUCAUUUGGGUGCGUUAACAAUUUUUCUUUCUCUUAUUAUUAUUAUAAGUUAUAAUUUAAAAGAAUUUUUAAAUUAUAAUAAUGGCUUAAAAAUAUGUUCAGUAUUUUACGUAUUUAUUUUUUAAUUACAUUCUUUUUCUAACAGACUAUAGUACAAUAAAGUGAUUUAUAUAUUGAUUUUCGUAAUUGGUCAAUUAAAAACAAAAGAAGCUAUUAUAUGAGUACCUACAUAUAAUUUGGUAAAUAUUAUUUGCUUCCUAAAUGCUUCCAAAUAAUUGUAGGGACAUACAUAUAUUAUAAAUAUCUUAUUUUAAUAAAAAAAAUCUAAUUAAUCGAUUGUUUAAUUCAUUGGCUUCAAUUGCAUAAAUUAGUAUUAAGUUAAAAGAUUAAAAAUAUUAAUAUUGAUAA